CACGACUACAUUAGAUACCCCGGUAGUCCCAGCCGUAAACUAUGCGCGUUAGGUGUACUGGUGACCACGAGUCACCGGAGUGCCGAAGGGAAACCGUGAAACGUGCCGCCUGGGAAGUACGGUCGCAAGGCUGAAACUUAAAGGAAUUGGCGGGGAGCACCACAACGGGUGGAGCCUGCGGUUUAAUUGGACUCAACGCCGGAAAUCUCACCGGAUAGGACAGACAUAUGAUAGUCGGGCUGAAGACUCUACUUGAUGAUCUG
rnacentral:rRNA from 1 species